UACGAAGGGGCGAGCGUUGUUCGGAAUCACUGGGCGUAAAGGGCGCGUAGGCGGCCCUCCUUGUCGCGUGUGAAAGCCCGGGCUCAACCUGGGAACGGCGCGCGAGACGGGGGGGCUGGAGUUCGGGAGAGGAGCGUGGAAUUCCCAGUGUAGAGGUGAAAUUCGUAGAUAUUGGGAAGAACACCGGUGGCGAAAGGCGGCGCUCUGGACCGAGACUGACGCUGAGGCGCGAAAGCGUGGGGAGCAAACAGG
rnacentral:rRNA from 1 species